AUAGCUCACUAGUCGAGAGGUCCUGCGCCGAAAAUGUCCGGGGCUGAAACACACUACCGAAGCUUGGGAAUUGACGAAUGUUAAUUGGUAGAGGAGCAUUCUUAACGGGGCGAAGCUGUACCGGAAGGAGCAGUGGACUGUUAAGAAGAGAGAAUGCCGGAAUGAGUAGCGAGAGGAAGGUGAGAAUCCUUCCGGCCGAAUAUCUAAGGUUUCCAGAGUAAAGCUGAUCUGCUCUGGGUAAGUCGGGGCCUAAGGCGAGGCUGAGAGGCGUAGUCGAUGGACAACAGGUUGAAAUUCCUGUACCAUGUAUCAUCAGAACUGUGGGGACACAGAAGGACAACACAUCCCGGGAAUGGGAAUACCGGGGCAAGCGAGGUAGGAGUACGGUUGGCAAAUCCGCCGUGCAAUCCGAAGACGUGAUGCGCAGCGAACUAAAGUAGCGAAGUGUGUGAUUCCGGCUGUCAAGAAAAGCCGCUAUUGUGUGAUACAUGCCCGUACCGUAAACCGACACAGGUAGAUGAGGAGAGAAUCCUAAGGCCGGCGGGAGAAGCAUUGUUAAGGAACUCGGCAAAAUGACCCCGUAACUUCGGGAGAAGGGGUGCCACAGAGAUGUGGCCGCAGAGAAUAGGCUCAAGCAACUGUUUAGCAAAAACACAGGUCUAUGCGAAACCGAAAGGUGAGGUAUAUGGGCUGACGCCUGCCCGGUGCUGGAAGGUUAAGAGGAGAGGUUAGAGCAAUCGAAGCUUUGAAUUUAAGCCCCAGUAAACGGCGGCCGUAACUAUAACGGUCCUAAGGUAGCGAAAUUCCUUGUCGGGUAAGUUCCGACCCGCACGAAAGGCGUAAUGAUUUGAGCGCUGUCUCAACAAUGCACCCGGUGAAAUUGAAAUACCAGUGAAGAUGCUGGUUACCUGCGCCAGGACGGAAAGACCCCAUGGAGCUUUACUCCAGCUUGAUACUGGGAUUCGAUAUUGCAUGUACAGGAUAGGUGGGAGACUUUGAACUGAUGACGCCAGUUGUCAGGGAGUCACUGUUGGGAUACCACCCUUGUAGUAUUGGAUUUCUAACCAGCAGCCGUGAACCGGCUGGGGGACAAUGUCAGGUGGGGAGUUUGACUGGGGCGGUCGCCUCCGAAAGGGUAUCGGAGGCGCUCAAAGGUUCCCUCAGAAUGGUUGGAAACCAUUCGAAGAGUGCAAAGGCAGAAGGGAGCUUGACUGCGACACCGACGGGUGGAGCAGGUACGAAAGUAGGACUUAGUGAUCCGGUGGUAUAAAGUGGGAUUGCCAUCGCUCAACGGAUAAAAGCUACCCUGGGGAUAACAGGCUUAUCACUCCCAAGAGUUCACAUCGACGGAGUGGUUUGGCACCUCGAUGUCGGCUCAUCGCAUCCUGGGGCUGUAGCAGGUCCCAAGGGUUGGGCUGUUCGCCCAUUAAAGCGGUACGCGAGCUGGGUUCAG
rnacentral:rRNA from 1 species